rnacentral:rRNA from 1 species
GACGAACGCUGGCGGCGUGCUUAACACAUGCAAGUCGAACGGAAAGGCCCUGCUUUUGUGGGGUGCGCGAGUGGCGAACGGGUGAGUAACACGUGAGUAACCUGCCCUUGACUUUGGGAUAACUUCAGGAAACUGGGGCUAAUACCGGAUAGGAGCUCCUGCUGCAUGGUGGGGGGGGGAAAGUUUCGGCGGUUGGGGAUGGACGCGCGGCUUAUCAGCUUGUUGGUGGGGUAGUGGCUUACCAAGGCUUUGACGGGUAGCCGGCCUGAGAGGGUGACCGGCCACAUUGGGACUGAGAUACGGCCCAGACUCCUACGGGAGGCAGCAGUGGGGAAUAUUGCACAAUGGGCGGAAGCCUGAUGCAGCAACGCCGCGUGCGGGAUGACGGCCUUCGGGUUGUAAACCGCUUUCGCCUGUGACGAAGCGUGAGUGACGGUAAUGGGUAAAGAAGCACCGGCUAACUACGUG